rnacentral:rRNA from 1 species
GACGAACGCUGGAGGCGUGCCUAAUACAUGCAAGUAGAACGCUGAAGGAGGAGCUUGCUUCUCUGGAUGAGUUGCGAACGGGUGAGUAACGCGUAGGUAACCUGCCUGGUAGCGGGGGAUAACUAUUGGAAACGAUAGCUAAUACCGCAUAAGAGUAGAUGUUGCAUGACAUUUGCUUAAAAGGUGCAAUUGCAUCACUACCAGAUGGACCUGCGUUGUAUUAGCUAGUUGGUGGGGUAACGGCUCACCAAGGCGACGAUACAUAGCCGACCUGAGAGGGUGAUCGGCCACACUGGGACUGAGACACGGCCCAGACUCCUACGGGAGGCAGCAGUAGGGAAUCUUCGGCAAUGGACGGAAGUCUGACCGAGCAACGCCGCGUGAGUGAAGAAGGUUUUCGGAUCGUAAAGCUCUGUUGUAAGAGAAGAACGAGUGUGAGAGUGGAAAGUUCACACUGUGACGGUAUCUUACCAGAAAGAGACGGCUAACUACGUG